ACUUGAAUCCUGACUUUUGUUCCUGUUCUUACUGCAAAGGCUCAGUUCUCAGGUUCAGUCACCAACAGUCAGGGAGUGGAUGCAGGGACACAAACCCUGGCUGCACAUUUUUAUGCAAGUUCUAACUCAAACAAGAAGACAGAGCUAAAAGACCUUCCUGAUUCAAUCAAACAUCUCCUUCCAGCCAGCAAGAGUAACAGGCUUUGGCUGUUGGAUGGCCGGGAGAGUUCUCCAAUAUUCAUGGUUUUGCCUGAGCAUCUGUAAAAGGAGCUCCACAGGAUGGAAAGCUUUGUUUUUCAGAGCAGCCAGGGAGCCCAGACCUGUUAAAGUCAGCAGAGGUGGAUCUGGAGAGACCCAGUGUAAAACCCAGCACCUGAGGAGAGCAGAGAUGAGCCUUGUCCUGGGAACACCUCCUGGCUGGUGAUGGUGGCUCCCCUACCAGGCACCUGGAUGCCAAGAGGAACCAUGGAUAUUUUGGAAGGAAACUCUACACUGCUGGAGCAGCUGAGAAAAGCCAUCCUGUAAGGGUCCUGUGUGAAAUGCUGCACAGACAGCCAUGGCAAGAGAGCAAAGCUUGGGAAACCACAGCACUGGAAUAACUAGGGGGAACUUCAGCAUGCCACAGUGUGAUGGAUAAGCAUCCAAACCUCAGACAAACCUGAAGCAAGGGAGCACUCCUACCACUAAUGAAGACACAUUGUCACUGGGCUGGCUUCAAAGACCAUUAAAAUUUCUGAGUGGUUCCAAUGGGGACCAGAACAACUCUUUUCCUGAAGAAAUAGAAGCAUGCAUUAACCUUAAUUGGGAACAGUCUCCACGAGGAUUUUCCCUCUGAGGAAAAGGAGCAUUUUGCAGAUAUAAUUGUUUUGGAGGGAGUAAUUAUUCCGUGGAUGCUUCCUGAGGUGAAUGAUGGCUCAUGUUAUGUUUUACCCCCUGAAAUUGGAAGAGCUGUGAGAGCCUUGUCAAAGACCAGUGGCAUUACCUGGCAAGCAGGGGCUGGGCUGCUGUUCCAGCACAGACACACACCAGUAGGAGGAACAUUUGUACAGUUUGGCUGAAUAUUCCUCUAUUAUUCUUUACCCUGCAGCACAACACAGUUUGCAGCAAUUGAUUGACUUAGCUGGACAGUGAGAUAAAAAACUACAAGUAAGGCAGUGUGGGAGCUGUUCUUCUGCUGUGAGAAGAUGUAAAGCAGCCCCAGCCAGAGCCGUGUUUUGCCUGGGGUCAGAUCAACAGAACACAGAUCCUGGGGUUUCUGAGUGUUAAUUUUCACUCAAUUUCAGGAAGGCUGGAAAUCAUCACCCUAAAAAAACCUUUCAAGUGAUGGGACAUGAGGAUAGUGGGAGCCACUUUUUCCUCCUGAUCAGGGAGAUGAUGUGCAGUAGGGAGAGGCUGACUAAGGAAAGAAAGAGGAAUGUAAAUCAAAGCAGAGAUGGGACAGACAGAAUCAGGCAAAACAUAGCAGAGUGGAAGACCCCCAGAAAGAGUUCUCUUCUGCACAUUGCUCUGUGGUCAAGUCUUGAUUGCAGUUUCAAGCAAAGGGUGUGAAAUCCUAAAGGUGCCUCCCCAUCUCUUGGUGGGGAAAGCCUCAACAAGGAGUGGGUCAGGGCUGAUCUGCACAACCCACCCCUCCUGAAAGAGUUACUGUGAGAUGUGGUGGAGGAAAAAGACAUUUGAAAUGAGAAAAUAAUUUUGUAUAGAAUUUGCAGCAAAGUUUUCUUUCAUCAUUUCCCUCUUUUCUGCCCCAGCUUUCCUCUUUCACCAGCUCUUGGCAGAGAUAUUUGGGUUGAAUAGGGGGCUGCUGUUGAGGAACUGUGCUUUCAGCACUGCAAUAAAGCAGUCCUACCCCAAUGAAU